rnacentral:sRNA from 2 species
AUAUCGUAUGUGCCGAGUUCCCUAACCAUUAGGGAAGCGGGGGAACCAUCUUUGGGUGAAUUGACCUCCUAUUCAUUGAGGGGUCAUAGGGGACCUUCUACCGAAUCCUUAAGCUAACCUCGCAGGCAUUUGGAAGGAGUUUA